CCUGUCCCUCCCUGCAAGAAAGGGUCAAGGCUCCCAGGAAAAGAGGAGAUUUUAUAAAACACAUGCAUGGAGUCCGGCUAGCAGCUGAUGAAGAGAAGACAUUGCAGGUUGGAGAAAAAUACUGUCAAGCACACUGAAGCAAAAAAGGAUCCAAAAGAAAAACAUCUGGCAAAACCAAGCAUUUUGAACAUGUCAACUUAUGGUUGA
rnacentral:lncRNA from 1 species